rnacentral:rRNA from 1 species
CGGCGGACGGGUGAGUAAUGUCUGGGAAACUGCCCGAUGGAGGGGGAUAACUACUGGAAACGGUAGCUAAUACCGCAUAACGUCGCAAGACCAAAGAGGGGGACCUUAGGGCCUCUUGCCAUCGGAUGUGCCCAGAUGGGAUUAGCUAGUAGGUAAGGUAACGGCUUACCUAGGCGACGAUCCCUAGCUGGUCUGAGAGGAUGAUCAGCCACACUGGGACUGAGACACGGCCCAG